UACGUAGGGUGCGAGCGUUGUCCGGAAUUAUUGGGCGUAAAGAGCUCGUAGGCGGUCUGUCGCGUCGGCCGUGAAAACCUGCAGCUUAACUGUGGGCGUGCGGUCGAUACGGGCAUCACUGGAGUUCGGCAGGGGAGACUGGAAUUCCUGGUGUAGCGGUGAAAUGCGCAGAUAUCAGGAGGAACACCGGUGGCGAAGGCGGGUCUCUGGGCCGAUACUGACGCUGAGGAGCGAAAGCGUGGGGAGCAAACAGG
rnacentral:rRNA from 1 species